CUAAGGACCACUGACAGCACUGCCAAAAAUAUUGUGACUUUACAAACGACCGCUGCAUCACCAGGCAAAACAUCAGUCACAUCUCCUCUGUCAUCAGUACCAAUUAAAGAAAAAACAGCUUGUGAACCUACCACUCUUCUGAAUUUUUUGGAACCUACUAAGCCUUGGGAGAGGGACUGGCAUCCAUUACAAGAGAAACUGCUUGAUUAUGUGCUGGACCGAAAUCGCCCUGGCAGUGAAAUAAUUGUGAAGGAGGGGAAAGUGUGCCUUAUUCGAGAAGAAUUUUGGAGCCUUGGAUUGUUGAGGGACAUGGACUCCCAUAUUGGAAACGCCUGCAUGAAGCUUAUUUUUGAAAUGGCUCGACAAAUUGGCAAGGACAUAUACAUUGAGGACUUUUAUGUUGUCCCUGUGUGGAAAGAAACUCCUAACAACAUUGUUACUGGAUUACCGGAAGAUGCAGACUUGAAAGACCUGUUAGCCUUUCCAGCAUGGACAAAUGCCAAUGGACCAGACCACUUUGUUGUCUGUGAAAAUUGCUUACCAAGUGGAUCAUGGGACAUGGACUGAAAAGACUGGAUAUGAUUUUCCAGCUUUGCCACGUCAGACAAGAGGGGAUGAUUGUGGUGUUUU